rnacentral:SRP_RNA from 1 species
GGCUGGGUCCCGGGAGACUGGAGCCGGUGAACUCCGCCAGGUCCGAAAGGAAGCAACGGUAGCUGGUACUCCGGGGCUUCCGGUUCAACCCAGCCAUC